UCCCUCUUUUUGACAGACUUGGAGCAGUUACUGUCUGCUGCUAAGGUUUCCAAUGCAGGUGCGAGAAAAAAGUGUCUUCGUGCUUUCUGCCUUUCUGAUUGUGGUAGCAAAGAUUAAAUGGGAGAAUACAAUA